AUGGAAUUUCUGGUUAUUUCCCCAAAUGAUUGAUGCUGAAUAAACUGAGCAAUCUCUCUUGGAGUUUCCAAGCCAGGACUCUGAUCCAU
rfam:Populus trichocarpa scaffold_7_contig_13, whole genome shotgun sequence.